GACGAACGCUGGCGGCGUGCUUAACACAUGCAAGUCGAACGGAAAGGCCCUGCUUUUGUGGGGUGCUCGAGUGGCGAACGGGUGAGUAACACGUGAGUAACCUGCCCUUGACUUUGGGAUAACUUCAGGAAACUGGGGCUAAUACCGGAUAGGAGCUCCUGCUGCAUGGUGGGGGUUGGAAAGUUUCGGCGGUUGGGGCUGGACCCGUGGCUUAUCAGCUUGUUGGUGGGGUAGUGGCUUACCAAGGCUUUGACGGGUAGCCGGCCUGCGAGGGUGACCGGCCACCUUGGGACUGAGAUACUGCCCAGACUCCUACGGGAGGCAGCAGUGGGGAAUAUUGCACAAUGGGCGGAAGCCUGAUGCAGCAACGCCGCGUGCGGGAUGACGGCCUUCGGGUUGUAACCCGCUUUCGCCUGUGACGAAGCGUGAGUGACGGUAAUGGGUAAAGAAGCACCGGCUAACUACGUG
rnacentral:rRNA from 1 species